rnacentral:rRNA from 1 species
CAGUAGCCACGGGAAUACGAAGGGUGCAAGCGUUAAUCGGAAUUACUGGGCGUAAAGCGUGCGUAGGCGGUUUGUUAAGUCUGCUGUGAAAUCCCCGGGCUCAACCUGGGAAUGGCAGUGGAUACUGGCAAGCUAGAGUGUGUCAGAGGAUGGUGGAAUUCCCGGUGUAGCGGUGAAAUGCGUAGAGAUCGGAAGGAACAUCUGUGGCGAAGGCGACUAUCUGGGCCAACACUGACACUGAGGCACGAAAGCGUGGGGAGCAAACAGGAUUAGAGACCCGCGUAGUCCCUGUCUCUUAUAC